rnacentral:rRNA from 1 species
GGAGUAUGGGCCGUGUCUCAGUCCCAUUGUGGCUGAUCAUCCUCUCAAACCAGCUACUGAUCGUCGCCUUGGUGGUCCAUUACACCCCCAACUAGCUAAUCAGAUGCAGACUCAUCUCCAAGCGCCGGAGCUUUCAAGAAUACCAUCGCAGGUACGCUCAUAUGGGGUAUUAGCAGAAGUUUCCCUCUGUUGUCCCCCGCUUGAAGGCAGAUUCUCUACAUAUUACUCACCCGUCCGCCACUUAUGUACCCCCGAAGGGGCCUUAUCGUUCGACUUGCAUGUAUGAAGCACGCCGCCAGCGUUCGUCCUGAGCCAUGAUCAAACUCU